GCAGAGCCAAAUCAGGAUCAGAGGCCUGUCUCUCUGCAUUUUAAGCAACAGUCACAUGCAUAACCCAGCACAGCUGUUUACGAUUGAAGACGAUUAGGGACAGCACAUGUACUGAAUCAGGAUUUGUCCAAACUGGAUUGCUUCAAAGCUUUUUUUAUGUUUAGCUGGUAAAUAAUUUCAGUUAUUAUGCAACUCCUGCUCAGUUCUGCCAUUUUUCUCUCUCUCAAAUGUCCUCUAGGUUUGACAGUGGAGGAACGAGGGAACAGAGGCAUCUGGAAGCUUUACCCCGGCUAACUGUCAAUCAGAACACAACAUAAUGGGAUUUGAGGCGUAUGCUGACUUCCAGACGUCUGUAGUGGAGCCCGUCUAGGACUGUUCAGACUCUUGGAGAACCUGCUGGUGUGUCAUGUCAUGCUGGAGGCGACGUGGCUGGAGAGGGUCCGUGGGUCUGAGGCGAAACCAGAGGAACGUCCAUGGCUCAAAACGUAGCUUGGAGGUCCGGCUAUGGCUCGUGAGGUGGCGUGGCGUUCGACAAGGCUUCACUGAGAGGAAGGUGAGUUCGGAUGAGUUUCUGCUCGGCGUGUCAGCUUAGACGUCCACUCGUGGGAAUAGGUUUCCUGGAACGGGACAAAGAGUUUGUGAGGCAAAGACGAGAGGUACAUAACAUGCGACAAAGAGAGGCCAGACUAAGCGCCAUAAGAGGCAACGAACUGGCGUUGAAUCCUGGUCGUGGAGCUCCUCAUGAAGGUUUGGCAGGCUGAUGAGUUGAGUGGAUGCAGCUGAGGUGAAUGAGGCCAAGCAGAGAGGGGAGGGGGAGGAGUCUGACAGAGGCACCAUGACAGAGAUGUCUGUAAAAACGUCAAGUAAAGACCACAGCUUUUCUAUGCCAAAAGUCCUGCCCACAACUCAGAGGCAAAAUUUAAACCGCAUAGUACUGUAGCAUAUCUGCAUGUUUCUAUAGGACAAAUGCAGGGCUUAGCACAGGAGGGUUUAUGUUUGCUGUCUUUUUGCGGAUUCCCAUGUCGAGGCAGUUCCAGACAAAACACAGACUUUUAAUUGUGCCUAAAAACUGCAUCACGAUAAAAAAAAAAAAAA